GUGCUUGCCUUAGCAGCUCAGAUGCCACAAGAAUUGGAAUGUUACAGAGAUUAUGGCCCCUGUGCAAGAAGGACAUGUAAACUCAUGAAGCACUCCAUAGUUUU
rnacentral:snRNA from 1 species